UAGGGAAUCUUCGGCAAUGGACGGAAGUCUGACCGAGCAACGCCGCGUGAGUGAAGAAGGUUUUCGGAUCGUAAAGCUCUGUUGUUAGAGAAGAACGUUGGUAGGAGUGGAAAAUCUACCAAGUGACGGUAACUAACCAGAAAGGGACGGCUAACUACGUGCCAGCAGCCGCGGUAAUACGUAGGUCCCGAGCGUUGUCCGGAUUUAUUGGGCGUAAAGCGAGCGCAGGCGGUUCUUUAAGUCUGAAGUUAAAGGCAGUGGCUUAACCAUUGUACGCUUUGGAAACUGGAGAACUGGAGGGCGGAGGGGGAGGGGGGAAUUCCAUGUGUAGCGGUGAAAUGCGUAGAUAUAUGGAGGAACGACGGGGGCGAAAGCGGCUCUCUGGUCUGUAACUGACGCUGAGGAUCGAAAGCGUGGGGAGCAAACAGG
rnacentral:rRNA from 1 species